rnacentral:rRNA from 1 species
UGGGGAAUAUUGCACAAUGGAGGGAACUCUGAUGCAGCGACGCCGCGUGAACGAAGAAGGCUUUCGAGUCGUAAAGUUCUUUUAUAUGGGAAGAUAAUGACGGUACCAUAAGAAAAAGCCCCGGCUAACUACGUGCCAGCACCCGCGGUAAUACGUAGGGGGCUAGCGUUGUCCGGAAUCACUGGGCGUAAAGGGUUCGCAGGCGGAAAUGCAAGUCAGGUGUAAAAGGCAGUAGCUUAACUACUGUAAGCAUUUGAAACUGCAUAUCUUGAGAAGAGUAGAGGUAAGUGGAAUUUUUAGUGUAGCGGUGAAAUGCGUAGAUAUUAAAAAGAAUACCGGUGGCGAAGGCGACUUACUGGGCUCAUUCUGACGCUGAGGAACGAAAGCGUGGGUAGCAAACAGG